rnacentral:rRNA from 1 species
UACGUAGGGUGCGAGCGUUGUCCGGAAUUAUUGGGCGUAAAGAGCUUGUAGGCGGUUUGUCGCGUCUGCCGUGAAAUUUCGAGGCUCAACCUCGAACUUGCGGUGGGUACGGGCAGACUAGAGUGUGGUAGGGGAGACUGGAAUUCCUGGUGUAGCGGUGAAAUGCGCAGAUAUCAGGAGGAACACCGGUGGCGAAGGCGGGUCUCUGGGACGUGACUGACGCUGAGGAGCGAAAGCGUGGGGAGCGAACAGG